rnacentral:rRNA from 1 species
UACGUAGGGUGCAAGCGUUGUCCGGAAUUAUUGGGCGUAAAGAGCUUGUAGGCGGUUUGUCGCGUCUGCUGUGAAAUUUCGGGGCUCAACCCCGAACUUGCAGUGGGUACGGGCAGACUAGAGUGUGGUAGGGGAGACUGGAAUUCCUGGUGUAGCAGUGAAAUGCGUAGAUAUCAGGAAGAACACCCGUGGCGAAGGCGGCUCUCUGGGCUGUAACUGACGCUGAGGAGCGAAAGCGUGGGGAGCGAACAGG